AAAAAGAUUCAGCCUGUUGAGAAAAGGACCAAACAUCUCUAGAACAUCAAUUAACCAUACAAAGGCUUGUUUGAUUAUCGUGUGCAAAGCGAACAAGACAUGUGUAAAACACAUGUAACUUGUCACCUGCAUACCCAGCUUAAUAGUCCAAACAGUCAAACACAUAGAACUACGAGUGCUCAUUACAUACUGUAGUUACAAAAAGGGCACAACUAUCUUGGAAGAUAUAUCAGAUGGCUGUUGUGUCGCACAUGGUGAUUCAUCUGAACCUAACCCGUAAAAAUGCCAAAGACAGGUCUCAGAUCAGAGUACAUCAAAAGUAUUGAGAAGGUACUAUUUUUUGAAUACAUCUUUACUCUUCAUAGUCGCGUUUGCGUUUUCCAAAUAAACCUUUGCGAGCACCGCACAGCUCACUUGCUGUUUGAUAGCCCAACAUAUGGUUUAAUGAUCUGAUAUAUGGAGCAUUACAUCCUAGAGCCGAGGCAAGGUUUAUUUAGUAUACCUUGCCAUGUCUAGCUUUGGAGGUGUCGUCUGCUGUUGGUUGUUGUGCUUUGCAUGUCCUAAGAGGAUAGUAAUAUUAGCAGCAACCUAUUGACGACCAAUAACUUAGAAGAAGCAGAUUAUUGUGAAUCUAUGAGUAAUAGAUGGGCUGGUAACACAUAUGCUUGCUAUGUAACCAUGUACAAGACAAUUAUUGAUCGAUCCAUUAAAUAUUGAUUUCAUAAUCUGGAACAACAGUUCUUCAACAAUCUGUAUAUAUCAGGAAAAACAUAGGAACAAUACACUUCCUACCAAAACAUAUGUGCCCUCUAAAAUCAGAGUCAAUAUGGACAAACAUAGUAAUUAUGUGAAAAUCUCGAUCCUGACUAACAGAGGAGUAUUUUAAGAUUUUUCUGUAAUACAUCAUGAUCCUUUAAAUCGCAACUUGUAAUGAUUUUAGUACAUUAGAGUAAGGCCCAGGCAAUCCCAAUCUUUAGUGCUUACGCAUUCUGUAUAUCAUCUAGUGGUUUCGCAAGUAUUGGUGACAGUGCAGCUAGCCCACAAAAACAUGACAGCAAUCUUCAAGUCACGAAGAAGCUAUUCUAUUUCUUUUUUACAAACGUACACAAGAGGAUCGACUACUUUGGCUCCUCAUCUACCGGCUUCUUUUUUCUCUAAGGACAGAAGAAAAGACUACUGGUCAGCUGAAUCAUGACCACCUUUAGAUUCGUGUAAUUAUAGGAUCGACUACUUUGGUUCUAUAUUAUCUACCAGCUUCUUUCUUCUCUGAACACAGAAGAAAAACCUACUGGUCAGCUGAAUCAUCACCACCUUCAGAUUCAUGUAAAUAUACCCAGGAGCACCAACAAACAAAAUUAUAUUCAAAUUCCAUGACAGGUAAAAGUACCUAGUUAUGAUGCAUACGGCUUGCCAACAAACUAACAGGUGCUUCAGAUUUUUCUAACUAUGUGAGUACCCCCUAGUUCAGUCAUGGAGUAUAUUCAUUUCAUUUCAGUGCAUAUAUUUCAUUUCAUUUCAUUUCAGUGUACAACAACAGAAAAGGAGCAAAGCAACCAGCAAUGGAGAAGAGGCACUGACCGUGGACAAGGGAGGAGAGGCUGCCGUUGGGGUAGUAGUCGCUCCUCCUCUGCCUGCUCCACGUCGACGGCCACACGCCCAAGCCUCGACGCCAUCUUUGUACUUCCCUUGGCGGCUACAAAACUGGCUAGUAACAUGAAAACACAUAGCAGCCCCAAGCACUAAAUUAGCCUUGUAAGACAGCAAAUAAACAAAGCAAAUAAUAGAUCAAAUUAACCACGCAAAGCACAACAGCAAUGGACUAUGUAACCUAUAGAUUAAUUAUGCAAGAAGUUACCAUUCCUAUAAUUAGCAAGCAUCAAUCAUUGCUUGGUGCAUCUAUAAACAAUGAGGAUGCGGUCUAAUUCUGGAACACAGAUUAAUUAUUUGUGUAGUCGGACUUCCUUUGUUAGGAAGCAGCAACUACUACCCGGUACACAUAUUUCUCCCAAAUCACUAACCUGAACAGGCAUCGCAAUGCAUUGAAAACUGGGCACACCCUACAGACAUGGAUAUGAACCAAAAUGCAUAAUCUAGUUACCAAAUUCAAUAAUAAGCUUGAGUUCUGAAUGUAAGAUUACACAGAAACAUCCUGGGCAGAUAUUUGAACAAAAGAACCUAAGACAGAUUGUUGUUAAUAUAAUACGAUUGACACCCCUGAAUUGCAUUAUGAACUGUAUGAGUACAGAUUAAUUACCCCUGAAUAUAACCAAAAGUGGCAGAAGCUAUCUAGUUGGACAUUUUUCAGAACAGACCAGCACAGACCCAGCUUGUUGCACAGACCAGAACAGACUACAACAUGUCAGCAUCACAAACCAAACCAAACCAAUUCACUGACUUCCAUGUAAAAUAGCAUCAGUAGUACAGACAUGUAUGCACAAUAAUGUUUUUCUUUAUGUUUGCAAUGCAUGGUGUGUUAUCAAUAGCUUCU
rnacentral:lncRNA from 1 species